CUAUUUGUAGAAACCUACUAAUGUCUUAUAUCACUACUCAAGCGGCUGCAGAGGCAUUGAUACUAUCAACUGGAUUGUCCUUUUGAAUCUUCUUAUUAUAUUAUAUAGAUGCAAAUUUUCUCAUGGUACAUGGUGAAAGAAAUUAGCAUUUAUCAGCCCUAUUUGUGCAACAUAGAAUUGCCAAGAGAUGUUAGGCAUUCCUUCUUAAGUGAGUCUAGCUGGCACUAAUUAAGGAUCAGAUGAAGCAAUAUCACAUACUAGGGAAUAUUUAGACAUUAUGUAAUGUUUUGUAUGUUUAGCCACUCUACUAAUGUUUAUGUUUUAGUUUUUGAAUGUUUGAGCUACUACAUUAGUUUUUUCUUUGGAGUUUCAAGUACUUGAAUUGAAUUUUUGAUGUA